GGGUUUGGCGGGUCUGAGAGGGGUGAACCCGCCCCCACUGGAACCUGAGACACGGUCCAGACUUCCUACNGGGAGGCAGNCAGUGCUGAAUCNUUCGCCAAUGCGGGAAACCGNNGACGGUGCGACGNCCGCGUGCAGGACGAAGGNCCUUCNGGGUUGUAAANCUGCUGUCAGUAUCUAGAAAACCAGCAGGGUUAAUANGCUCUGUUGCUGAUCGGAUUCAGAGGAAGCACUUGGCUAAACUGCGUGCCAGCAGCCGCGGGUAACACGGAGUGGUGCAAGCGGUUGUUCGGAAUCACUGGGCAUAAAGGGGUGCGUAGGCGGCCUUGUAAGUCAGUUGUGAAAUCCCACGGCUCAACCGUGGCAUUGCAAUUGAUACUGCAGGGCUCGAGGUCGAAAGAGGCAAGUGGAAUUCCAGGUGUAGCGGUGGAAUGCGUAGAUAUCUGGGAGAACGCCAAAGGCGAAGGCAGCUUGCUGGGUCGAAUCUGACGCUGAGGCACGAAAGCUAGGGGAGCGAACAGGAUUAGAUACCCUGGUAGUCCUAGCCGUAAACGAUGGACACUUGGUUUUGGGGGCCCUGAUGCCUUCGGAAUUGGAGUUAAUGCGUUAAGUGUCCCGCCUGGGGAGUAUGGUCGCAAGGCUAAAACUCAAAGGAAUUGACGGGGGCUCACACAAGCGGUGGAGCAUGUUGUUUAAUUCGAAGCAACGCGAAGAACCUUACCAGGGCUUGACCUGCAAGAAGUAGAACCCCGAAACGGGAACCACCGGUAUCCAAUCCGGAACUUGCACAGGUGCUGCAUGGCUGUCGUCAGCUCGUGUCGUGAGACGUUGGGUUAAGUCCCGUAACGAGCGAAAUCCUUGUCGUCUGUUGCUACCGGGUCAUGCCGGGC
rnacentral:rRNA from 1 species